GUAGUCGGAAGGAGUUGGACAGCAAUAACGCCUGUAAGAGAUACAAGCAGAUGAUUUAGACAUAGUGCCACAAUUUAAAAACAAAUCAAUGAUCGUUGCAGAUAAAAUAUAAAAGCAGAUCUGUAAGUGAAUACAUAAAAAAGAAAUCAGCAGGCAUGAUUUGUUUUGAGGUAAAUGUUCUUUAUUCUUCCUCGUCUCCUGAGGGUUCUUGUGCAGACACAAUAGAACAAAUAAAUUCAAUGUUCUCAAUUCAAACUUUGAGGGAGAAAAAUAAGACUUCAAGAAGACAGAAACUAGCUCGGACCAAUUAAAUCAAUACCUCAGCUUUACUGGACUUAAUGGGGACAUACAGAGAUGGUUAGGUAACUGGUCUGGAGCUUUUGUUAAGUAAUAAAAUCAAUGUUCGCAAGUUAUGCAACAUGCUAUUGAGGCCAUUCUCAGACACCAUUAGCCUUAACAUCCUGUUCUCUUACAUUGAUUCUCAGCAAAUUAUAAACAAGCCGACUUCCCAUCAUUAUUCCAGGCAGGAGGCAGACAUCCCCUGCAAAGAAUCCACUGGCAGAAGUAGAGCAACAAGUGAACGACUUUGAUACAACUUAAUUACUCUAGGCAAAAUUAUUCAGAUUUAUCUCUAUGCUUUUGGUUGUAACAUUAUGUCCCCAGAAUAUUUACUCCAGCUUGUAAGAUCUGAUUCAGUGUUUAGCAUUGUUGUCUGAGCCCAGCUGUUCUCGGUGUCACACAUUUACAACAGAAGUAGGACGUACUGUUAGGUGAACACACAGUGGUGAUGGCACACACUGAGUAUUUGGUAUCAUAUAAAGUUCUUUGGUUUGAUACACAUGCAAUUUACUCAGACCUUUAAGAUGCACUUCAGACAAAGUUGAGACAUGUUAAACGAACGCAAACAUUUCCCAUGUUUUUUAACUUGUAAUAGAAACAAAGCUCUGGGAAACAGUUGUUUUUGUGGCAGAAUUCAUCCCUUGAGACUCACAGAUGGAUUUCUGAAAAGGGCGCUGAUGCUGAAAGACUUAGUCGCAGGCCGAUUAAGGUGACCCCCUCAGCUCUACUCAGACUCCUGAGUGGAGGGAUAGUUAAUUGGCCCUGAUGGAAAGAGCGGCAAGAAAAUUGAGUUUGAUGGAAGAAAGAAGAAAUUGACGGUUGACCAAAAUGGAAUAAAUUAAGAGCAAGGGCUUAAGAGGUUUGAGGCUGCAGGCCUUGAUCAUCUGCAGAGUGCCAGAGGAGACAGGGAGGCAGGAAGGAGCUGACACGCACAGAGGCGUACAUGAAACGAGGAGAGCCAAACUUAAAGAGUUGUAAAUAAUGUAUGAAACAGUACAAUUAGAAAUUCAGGCACUGUGUCAAAAUCCACCGCUGGGAAUAACUGGGCUCUCGCUUCCUAAUUGGCAAAAAUAGAAUCUGGGUCUCAAUCCCUGGCUGUGUGUGUGUGCUGAGGAAAGGUGGAGGGACUCAGUGUGAUGCCAGCUUAUGGUGUUAGAUAAGAAGGUCUGAUUUCUGGUUUUAUUCGCAACAGAACUAAGGUACUGCCCAGAAACAGAAAUAAGUUGGGAAUCUCUCAAACAUUAAAGAACACAAAGCCCAAGUGUUAGUUAUGUUUUUAUCUGCAUACUCAUGCAUCAUGGUUUUGCUAAUCUAUAACAUCACCUUAAAUAUCACCAUAAACGAGCAUUUGUCUUUUGUUAAAUGUGGGUGAUGAUAAUAGAACCAAACAUACCACUUACAAGAGAUCGUCUUUAGCGGGCCAAAGUCCACCCACUUACCUUUUGGAAUGAGCCUUUAAAUACAUUUGAGAUGCUGCGUCUGCCACCAAGACGGUAAUUUCUUCUCCCAUCAGGGAAGUAAUCACAGCAUGUGCGACAGCUCUAAGUGCCACAACUGCAGCUGCGGAGUGACAAACAGCCACAAUCACUUAGUCAUGACUGCUCGUAGCAGAACAUGGUGAUUCAAUGCAAGGUUUUGUGAAACUGUAUCUGUCCCCCAUAAGUCGCACAAUAUUAGAGGCUAAAAAAGGCCGCAGAUUUAUAUUUAUCUUUAGAAAAUCCCUCACUAAUUCUCUCAAAAUGAUUUAGCUUUAAAUUGUGAUGAUGUGAUGGAAGUUUGAAAACUCAGGAAGGUGAAUAAAUGAGCUUACUAUAAGAAACUGUCAUGGCAUUAAAACAAGCCAGAUUUGAGGAUUAUCCAGUGGGAAACAUCCGGAUACGUUGAUAAGACGACAGCUCAACAACCAGUUUAUUAGAGACGAUCUUCAGUGUUAAAUCCUGAGUUCUCCUACCACGAUGCUCUUAAAGGUUGCAUCUGGCAGCCAACUGAAUCAUAGGUUACCUCAGCUUACCUUCCAAGCGUAUAGGUAGCCACAAAAAAA